GCAGAGCCGGCUGGAACGUGACGAUGGACGCGGGCAGGUGUCUGAACCAGCUGCAGAGCUUCAUCUCUCCUUGCAGGACACCGGUGCCCUUCCCUAAAGAGAAGGCCAGGCCCACAUUCCCAAUCUCAUCUGUCCUCAAUGCCCCCCUUUACUGAGAAGGACCUGAGUCUGAAGUGACUUCCUGCAGAAUUCUUAUGGUAAGUGUAUACAGUUAUUUUGGGAAUCAAUCGCCAUUAUCUUAAAAUGUUUUCUAGCGCUAUUUGAAAUUAUUUACAUUUUGCUUAUCAACUUUCCAGGGAUUUAAUUCUCUGACUAGAUUGUAAGCUCUGUCAGAGCAGGAACUGGGGGACUUCUGUUUCUUUGUGCCUUGAAGAAGGUACUCAAAGUUUUGCGGGUUUGAUUGAAAAUAAGCCAGAUAUAACAACUAUAAAAAUAAAUACAUUUCUAAAAUCAUGCAUAGCUUUUUAAUAAACCGUGAAGCGGGAUUCAGUUAUAGGAAAGGCUGGCUGUGUAAGGAAGGGGGUCACGUACUAAUUGCACAGCUUGCAGAGAGAUGAGGUUUCUCAUUUCAAAGGUAAGUUAUUUCCAACCUUCUAUGGUUCUAUUGUGCAAGACCAGGCUACUGACCUGAAUCCUCCCAAAACCCAGGUUGUAUUAAAUUAAGAAGUUCCAAAAUGGAGCUAAAUUGUACUUUUGCAAUUUCUUCUUCCAUGUCGCUGUAAGGUUCUUCUCCCAACUUAAAAACAAAUUCCUUGUUUACUUUUCUCACUCACACCCGCCCCUUCACGUUGUCAUCCAUAAGCCAACAUUCUUUAGGAACACAAAACGCUGCUAGGGCGUGUUUAGUGCUGCAUGCUUCCACACCAGGUCUAAUCAUUAGCAUUUGGGCGGAAGAACGCUUAGGAUAACCUGAUUAGAAGAAUAACCUUAGUUUCUCUAAAACGAAAAGGUUCUGCUCUUAAAAGAUUACGGCUUGCUGGCUGGUACUAACCUCCAACGACGGGUAAAACAGCUAUUUGGGGUCGCCAGAAGUUAUUCCUGAGUGGGGAGGGAGUGGAAAUGAAUGACUUCGGGGAAGGUGUCAACAUAAAGAAGUCUGUUCUAAGAAUAACGUAAGGAAAUGUGACAUGGGAAUGAGCUGAACCGUCUGGCGAGGGAGACCCCUGGCGUUUUAAGCUAACGUUGGACGGAAGGGACCAGUGAACCCACGGCUGAAGUGAGGGGGUCGAGUCCCGGAAGUCAGGGAAGGCUCCUGAGGAAACGGCCGGACCUCUUAGAGGAUGGAUCAGCAUCCAGUGAAAGCGCUGCCGGCUGUCUUCCCUGUGCAGAGAAACUCAGAAAGCGGCGGCAGGCUCUUCCCAAGCGCAGCCCUACCAGGAUCAGGAUGGCAAGCGAGCCACCUCUCCUGACCAGACACCCACAUCCUGGCAAAAAGGUCUUUUUCUCCCCCUGGUCUCCUCUGGUCUUUGCCAGAAAAGAAGAGAUGAGAAAAAUGAAGCCUCUGCCCUUCUCCAUAUCAAUCCCUCUCCACCCACCUGGAGCUGAGUGUGUGUGUCAUCAGCUCUCUCAUGGUUAACAUCUUUGUCCAGCGGGAGGCAGACGUUCACCGAGCCUUGUGAUAAGCCAGACCAUUUCGUUUAGUGAUAUUAUACUCACCUUUAAUCUUAGGAGAGUCAGUGAUGUUUUAUGUUUGGCCUGGCUGAGUCUUGGUUAAUAUUUAGCUCUGGUUUCAAGCAUAGUCCAGAUACAGAAAACCUGACACGGUUUUCUAAAGUAGAGAACAGGAUGAUCCGCCAGUGUCUGAUCACUGCUGAGUUAAAGGAAGGGGUGGGCAGUCAUUGAGUUGAGAGUGGCAGUCGGGGCGGGAGGUGUGAAAGUUUGUCCUUGAGCUGUUAUUCUCAGCCCUAAUGGUCUGCCAACUCAGAUAAGAGAGCUACAAAAGGUUUUCAGCUUUAAGUAGAAUACGGUCCCUCAUGCCUUUCUGGAUGAGCUGCUGGAAAAUAAAAUUAGAGACUCUGCCUAUGGGAAUGUUCCCAGAAAUUUACUUAUUAGAGGCGAAACAACCACUUAGGUAAAGGUUUCCUCUGAUAGAACAUUAGAUAGGAAAUUCAGUGUUUUUGAAUCUGGCAAAAAUGUGGAUUAGACAAGUGAUUGAUGCUAAGUCAGAUGCUUAGCUUGCCAGCUAUCCUGACUCUUAUGAUACAUGGCUCAGAAUCCCUAUCCAGAUCUUCCCAACCAUAUGGGUGAACUUGAUUAUUCUCCUGUCAUCUUCUUCACAAGACCAAGGUUCCUUUCUGCCUCCCAUGAUGACUUUACUGUCUUGAGGGAGCAGUCACAUUUGGAGCUGACGAAGAACACGUAUGCCGACGGCCAUUUACUUCCUGCCUCUCUCGAUGACCAGACUGCACGCCUCCCCAACACGGGGCUCCCCUCUGGGGCAGCUGGGGCCGAAAGCUUCAGUGAGCAACAGUCAUAUUCGGUCAUGGAGAAGAGGUUGAAUUUGUGUAAGCAAACAGACUCCAGUUCGCUGCCAGCUCUGGAAGUCCCCGUCUACCGGUUCACAUUUUCUCCUCUGCAGACCAUUCACAUCUCAAUUAUGAGAGGAGGCCGUCGAAGUUGUUGCACAGAAACCCAAGCGGUAAAAUUCCGCUCCGUCAUGAAGGAAAGGUCGGCUCAGGACCUUCAGCAGCCGCGGCGAACAGAGGGUGACUCCUCCGCCUUCUCGGUUUUCUCCUUCUUUAUAAGAACAAGCAGGGGCAGGAAACGCAAUGUCCUUCCGCCAUCCCGUGUUCUUUUCCUCGUGUCUUCCUAGACUGUCCCAAGCUAUGGCAUGAACCCUACUGGAGUUUCAGAUCCAUGCCCGGUAUUACUGCGCUCUCUGUGUUACUGAAACACACGCUGACAUCAUCCCACACGGGCCACGGUGCCGUGUGCUCUCUCGCGAUGCCUUUCUCACUGCAUUCACUUCGGUUGCAUCAGCUCCUGACUACCCACACCGAUGGGCAGCGAGUAGUAACUAGCAAAGUGCACGUGCUCAGCUAUCCUAACAUCAGUGGAAUGCAUUACUUGUUAUUCCCGUCCGGCAUCCAGCAGAUUGAUCUUCAUAAUUAACUGUUGAGUGGAGGCCAAGAUUAAAUUUUGGAAUUAAAGAUUGUGUUAGCAUUUAACUUAAAACGUCUAUUCCCUCUUUUGGAUAAAGAAAACAACCAGAGAGGAUGUCAUGGGAAAGAGAUCUUUCAAGAAGCGGGGAAUACCUCUUCAAAUAGUAGAAGCUGUGGAAUUAGAGCCUCAAUCUUCAAGGCCCUGUCUUUUAGCCUUAGAACUCGCCUGCUGGUGAGUAUGCACCACGUACUGGGGAUGCAUUUCAUUUCGAGACUUGGGACCCCGGCUUUGGACCCCGGCUUCCUUGGAGACUGUCCCUCUGAUCACGGGGCCAGGAGUGUCAUAGAGUUACUCUGUCCGUUUUGCAAUUAUUAUUAUUAUUAUUAUUAUUAUUAUUUAUUUUUACCAAUUCUCAGUCCCUCGGAAUCACUUUCCUAAGUAAAAAUUGGCAUUUAUUCGGAGACCCUGGAAUGUCUCAUACUAUAAUAAUGGUAAAGUGGGGUUUAGAGCAUUUCAUUCCAAAUCGUUGCUUGUUUUUAUGACGCUGGAGGGAGAGAGGAGUCACUCUCCAUCAGUUGCGGGUUCACUGAGCUCGGAGCUGACUCUUCCUUAGCGAUGGCGUGGGAUUUCCCUGCAUGCAUUUCUGUGUAACAGUGUCCCCUGUGGUCUCACCUUGUAAUUGUCCCUGUUUUUAUUUUUGCAUGAUUCAUUUCUCUAUCAUAAAUCUUAUCAAACACGUUUUUUCUGGGCCACAGUAAGUACUUUUAGCAACCAGGUGGCAUGGACGAUAUAGACAGCUAGAACAGAGGCAGCACCUUAACAGCGAGAGCGACGGAUCGAAUGCUUUGUCGUUCUCACAAACGGCCCGAGUGUAGGGAGCCGGAGGAGGCAAGUUCAUUGUUAAACACGGUAAAAUCUGUAUGCGGGACACUAAGAGGGAGGAUUUCACAUGAAUCCAGAGAUGACGGCAUCCGGACAGACCCUCGAGUGUAGACUUCUGGACACUGUCAAUGAAAUGGGCGUCGUCCCGUUUCUUAUCACUUGGACAUGAGCCCAUCUACAAUUUCGGGACCAAAAAAUAAGGCCACUGAUGGCACGAAGUGCCUGUCUAUGACAGUACUUGAGGAAUAGCUGAGUCUGUGGCCUUGAAAGUGAGACACGGCCAUACCUGUGACAGGAUGGGGCACCCCCGUGCACGCACACCCGUAUACCCUGCCUGUAUUGCUAUGUGUUUAGUGGCUGGUGCGUGUGCUUACGUUUUGGGAACAAUGUCUUCGGGUCUUUAGCGUGCAUUGUGGUGUUCAUAGUGCUCAGCGUCGUACUGAGUCCUUAAAAAACCCCUUUUAGGAAUUGCUGAUUUACAUUUCCAUUGGGAAGCCACGUCUGGCAUUAAAAAGAUAAUAAUUUGCAUGGUUUUUAAUCAAGAUGUAAUUUUGCUUUAUUCUUGUUCAUUUAUUUUCACGAUGGGGAGAAUAAAGUUGUUUCCCU